rnacentral:rRNA from 1 species
UACGUAGGGUGCAAGCGUUGUCCGGAAUUAUUGGGCGUAAAGAGCUCGUAGGCGGUUUGUCGCGUCUGCUGUGAAAACUCGGGGCUUAACCCUGGGCCUGCAGUGGGUACGGGCAGACUAGAGUGCGGUAGGGGAGACUGGAAUUCCUGGUGUAGCGGUGAAAUGCGCAGAUAUCAGGAGGAACACCGAUGGCGAAGGCAGUUCUCUGGGCCGUAACUGACGCUGAGGAGCGAAAGCGUGGGGAGCGAACAAG